AGAGUUUGAUCCUGGCUCAGAACGAACGCUGGCGGCGUGGAUAAGACAUGCAAGUCGAACGAGAGAAUUGCUAGCUUGCUAAUAAUUCUCUAGUGGCGCACGGGUGAGUAACACGUGAGUAACCUGCCCCCGAGAGCGGGAUAGCCCUGGGAAACUGGGAUUAAUACCGCAUAGUAUCGAAAGAUUAAAGCAGCAAUGCGCUUGGGGAUGGGCUCGCGGCCUAUUAGUUAGUUGGUGAGGUAACGGCUCACCAAGGCGAUGACGGGUAGCCGGUCUGAGAGGAUGUCCGGCCACACUGGAACUGAGACACGGUCCAGACACCAACGGGUGGCAGCAGUCGAGAAUCAUUCACAAUGGGGGAAACCCUGAUGGUGUGACGCCGCGUGGGGGAAUGAAGGUCUUCGGAUUGUAAACCCCUGUCAUGUGGGAGCAAAUUAAAAAGAUAGUACCACAAGAGGAAGAGACGGCUAACUCUGUGCCAGCAGCCGCGGUAAUACAGAGGUCUCAAGCGUUGUUCGGAAUCACUGGGCGUAAAGCGUGCGUAGGCUGUUUCGUAAGUCGUGUGUGAAAGGCGCGGGCUCAACCCGCGGACGGCACAUGAUACUGCGAGACUAGAGUAAUGGAGGGGGAACCGGAAUUCUCGGUGUAGCAGUGAAAUGCGUAGAUAUCGAGAGGAACACUCGUGGCGAAGGCGGGUUCCUGGACAUUAACUGACGCUGAGGCACGAAGGCCAGGGGAGCGAAAGGGAUUAGAUACCCCUGUAGUCCUGGCAGUAAACGGUGCACGCUUGGUGUGCGGGGAAUCGACCCCCUGCGUGCCGGAGCUAACGCGUUAAGCGUGCCGCCUGGGGAGUACGGUCGCAAGAUUAAAACUCAAAGAAAUUGACGGGGACCCGCACAAGCGGUGGAGUAUGUGGCUUAAUUCGAUGCAACGCGAAGAACCUUACCUGGGCUUGACAUGUAAUGAACAACAUGUGAAAGCAUGCGACUCUUCGGAGGCGUUACACAGGUGCUGCAUGGCCGUUGUCAGCUCGUGUCGUGAGAUGUUUGGUUAAGUCCAGCAACGAGCGCAACCCCUGUUGCCAGUUACCAGCACGUGAAGGUGGGGACUCUGGCGAGACUGCCCAGAUCAACUGGGAGGAAGGUGGGGACGACGUCAGGUCAGUAUGGCCCUUAUGCCCAGGGCUGCACACGUACUACAAUGCCCAGUACAGAGGGGGCCGAAGCCGCGAGGCGGAGGAAAUCCUGAAAACUGGGCCCAGUUCGGACUGUAGGCUGCAACCCGCCUACACGAAGCCGGAAUCGCUAGUAAUGGCGCAUCAGCUACGGCGCCGUGAAUACGUUCCCGGGUCUUGCACACACCGCCCGUCA
rnacentral:rRNA from 1 species